rnacentral:rRNA from 1 species
UGCGCAGGUGGGAAUGUAAGUCAGUGGUGAAAUACUGCCGCUUAACGGUAGAAUUGCCAUUGAUACUGCAUUUCUUGAGUAUGGUUGAGGUAGGCGGAAUGUGUCGUGUAGCGGUGAAAUGCAUAGAUAUGACAUAGAACGCCGAUUGCGAAGGCAGCUUACUAAGCCAUUACUGACACUGAGGCACGAAAGCGUGGGGAGCGAACAGGAUUAGAUACCCUGGUAGUCC